GAAGUGUUCGACUUGUGGUUUUGUGAUACGAAAUCCAGCAUAUCUAUGUUGUUUGCUGUGUCAUAAUAAAAUAAUAAUAAUAAAAAUAAACAACUUUAUUUCUAGACCGCCCUGUCUCUCACUUUCUACCCCGCCUUCUCCUUGCAAGAUGCUCCUGCAACCGGAAGGUGAGCUUCCUUGGCAUCCAAGCAGGUGACUCCGCAGGAACCGGUUUGUCCAGACCAAGGGGAGGAGGAGGAGCAGGGUGUCCUCUUCUUCCUCCGAAACCGGUCCUCCUCCCAGAGUUUCGCCUCCGAAGCCGAGAAGGAAGGAAGGCAGGAGACGAUGGAGACCUUGCGGAGAGGCCUCUCCCGCUGGAAGAGGUACCGCAUCAAGGUGCACUUGGCCGAGGAGGACCUGCUGCUCCCGCUGACCGUCCGGCCCACCGACACCGUCAUGGACCUCCGGGCCCUCUUGGUCCGGCAGGGCGUCACCUCCUGGAAGAAGGCCUUCCACUACAACGCCCGGCUCCUGGGCGAAGACGAGACCAUCAAGGAGGCCAAGAUCCAGGACGGCUCCGUCGUGCUGCUCAUCGCCGAUCAAAGGUGAAUCUUGCCGGGAGAGUUUGAGGAAACUACGCUGCAUGGUGCUGUUGUACCACUGAGAGAGGAAGAUUGCCGAACGGGCAGGAGGGAGCCCAAGGUAAGGCUUUCGCACCGUCUUUGGGUCCUGCGACGU
rnacentral:lncRNA from 11 species